rnacentral:tRNA from 1 species
AGGGGUGUAGCUCAGGGGUAAGGUGCCAACUUAGCAAACAGGAGGUUCUAGGUUCAAUCCUCAGCACUGCAA